CCUACGGGCGGCAGCAGUGAGGAAUAUUGCUCAAUGGGCGUAAGCCUGAACCAGCCAAGUCGCGUGAGGGAUGAAGGUUCUAUGGAUCGUAAACCUCUUUUAUAAGGAAGUAAAGUGCGGGACGUGUCCCGUUUUGUAUGUACCUUAUGAAUAAGGAUCGGCUAACUCCGUGCCAGCAGCCGCGGUAAGACGGAGGAUCCGAGCGUUAUCCGGAUUUAUUGGGUUUAAAGGGUGCGUAGGCGGCCUUUUAAGUCAGCUGUGAUAGCCUGUGGCUCAACCAGAGAACUGCCUUUGAAACUGGGAGGCUUGAGUAUGUUUGAGGCAGGGGGAAUGCGUGGUGUAGCGGUGAAAUGCUUAGAUAUCACGCAGAACCCCGAUGGCGAAGGCAGCCCGCCAAGCCAUGACUGACGCUGAUGCACGAAAGCGUGGGGAUCAAACAGGAUUAGAUACCCCUGUAGUC
rnacentral:rRNA from 1 species